AUCCAUCCCUUGACGCCGGGAGCUGGAAUCACAGCCCUCCACCGCCGGUGUUUAUUAUCGCUGUGGGACCUUUGUGCCGGCUGGGAGCGCCGUGGUGACGUUUCCCGCCCAUGGUGCCCAUGGUGACGGCGCGGCUCCCCCGCUCCCGUGGCACCCCUGCCCGCCGCACCCCGGCUCAGCGGGGCAGGGCCCCGCUAUUUAACGCGUGCCCGACAGCCGGGAGAGCCGUGCCAAGGGCGGCGAUCCCGAGUGCUGCCGGCAUUGCCUCCUCUGGGAACUUUUCCGCAGGUUUGCUCGGAGACCACUGAGGAGGAUGUGUGACCCCAACCAAGGCCCGCCACAACCAUACCUUGCAGUGUGCCCUCCUGCCCCGCCGGGAUACCCUGGUCCUGGCACAGGUCCCUGCCCUGGCGGCGUGGCAGUCUGCCCCCCGUGCCCUGCUCCACCUGGCCAGCACCCGCACGGGCACCCCCCAUCAGGGCAUCACCCCCAUGGGCACCCCCCAUCGGGGCAUCACCCCCAUGGGCACCCCCCAGCAGGCCAUCACCCCCAUGGGCACCAGGAUCACCAUAAGAAGCACCAUAAGAAGCACCAUAAGAAGAAGCACUGCAAGCACCACGGAGACAAGCCCUCAGGUGGCUCCUGCAGCUCAAGCAGCUCAAGCAGCAGCUCUGACUCUGACUGAACGUCUGGCGUGUCCCACCUGCUCCGCGGUGAUCAGCGAAACAUGAGGCCAAAGUCCUCGUAGGAACCCCCUGCAUGGCGCUCCCCUCCCUCCCCCUUUCCCUUGGAACAGCGUUUUGCCUGCUGAGUGAUUUCUCUUAUGUGUAGCUUGUAAGUCCUUUGACCUGGAAUCUCGGAGUCAAUGGACAGCAUGUCCACCCUCUAUCUUUCGGGAGAGCCUGCUGAAACUCAUCAUGUGCUGUUUUCCAA